rnacentral:rRNA from 1 species
GACGAACGCUGGCGGCGUGCUUAACACAUGCAAGUCGAACGAUGAAGCGGGUGCUUGCCCUCGUGGAUUAGUGGCGAACGGGCGAGUAACACGUGAGUAACCUGUCCUUUUCUUUGGGAUAACGGCUGGAAACGGCUGCUAAUACUGGAUAUUCAGGCUGCAUCGCAUGGUGUGGUUUGGAAAGGUUUUUUCUGGGAUUGGGUGGGCUCGCGGCCUAUCAGCUUGUUGGUGGGGUGAUGGCUUACCAAGGCUUUGACGGGUAGCCGGCCUGAGAGGGUGGGCGGUCGCACUGGGACUGAGAUACGGCCCAGACUCCUACGGGAGGCAGCAGUGGGGAAUAUUGCACAAUGGACGAAAGUUUGAUGCAGCGACGCCGCGUGGAGGGUGUAGGCCUUCGGGUUGUGAACUCCUUUUUCUAGCGAAAAAGGCACAGUUUUGGCUGUGUUGAUGGUAGUGGGGGAAGAAGCGCCGGCUAACUACGUG